UUGAGUUCUCCCCCAACACCUCCUUCCCCCCAGCCAAGCAGCCACCCAUCUGCUCGUCUGUCUCGGGGCUGCUGGCCCGUCCAGGCCUGAUCAAUCUAAUGGGGAUAAGAUGCCAACCCCCUCCCAUCUCCAUCCACUGACUCAUUGUGAUUCAUCUUCUGGGACCAACCCCUAUUACAUAGAUGGGGAAACUGAGGCUCAGAAUGGGAGGGUCCCACAGCAAGCAAGAGCAGAGCCCCUAGACUCUUAGCUCUGCUAAGGCCACCCAAUCUGUGCUGGACUAGACACUAUUCCACGUGGAACUAUUUCUUGGCCUUUAAUGACUUAAAAAGCAGGAUGAGGCAUGUGGGGACCCUCCCACCCAGGGGACCAGCUGUGCUUCCCCAGACCCCAUCACCACCUCCGGCGACCUGCACCCUCCUUCCCAGAGCUGCUGCCACCUGCGAGUCGGUGAGGGGUCAGGGUGCAAUUGGCUGUAACGGGUUCCUCAGGGCCUCCAGGGGCCAGGCAGUGGUGGGGAAGUGGCUUGGAUAAGGACCUGGCAAUGUCGGACCUGUUGUGGGGUAACCCACCCUAGGGCACAGGGUUCUGGUCCACUGUUCCUCCCCCUUCACAGAAUGCCCUCCAGUGCCUGCCUGCCAUGGGGCAAGGGCAAUGCCCGACACUUCCCUUGUGCAGAUCUGGUCCCAGGAUCCAGUGAGGACCCCUCUGGCCUCAGCAGGGGAAGAAGGGUUAAGCUAGGGGGUAGUGCUGCCCCAAAGACUCCAUUUCCAAGGCAAUACUCCCAGCCCAGCCAGCACCAUCCUUGGCCCUUGAGGGGCCCAAGAACCUUACAACCAGGCAGCCUGACUGGACUUCCUUGACCGGGCACAUAGAUGCUGCCUAAGUCCAUAACUGGCAGCCCCUCAGCUGGGCGCAGCUACCCCCUAGCCUAGUACCUCCCACACAGGGCCACCAGCUGUGUCUGCCUCUCCGGCCAGAUGUGCUGGCUCCCUGAAGCUGCAGAUGCCCCUCCCCAUCUGGUUGUGCCAGCUGCAGCCACACACCCCACCCCCAAGUUCAGGCCAGCCCAGCUAAGAUACAAGACCAGGGGAGUGGUCAGGCACUUGCGUUGCCAGGGCGUUUCAUGCCCUCAACCCUCCCCCCAAGCCAGGCUGGGGGAAGGCCAGGUGCCAGGGACACCUGCCGAGGCUGCCUUACCAUGGUCAGACCCUUCCACUCCUAAGGGGCACUCUGCCUCACUGUCACGAAACCACCAGAUUCCUACCCUGCCCUGGCAUCUCCCUGGAGGCCCUAGGAUGAAACCUGGGCGUCCAUCUGCACACCCUACUCCUAUGUCAAUCCUUCCAUCGCUGGGCAGCAGUGGGUGGGCCCAGACUGAGCAAGGGGGCACAGGCUCAUGACUUCCAGCCUCCUCCUUUUAGGGAGGAGGUGUCUAUGCCAGCCUCCUCUCAACUCAGGCCAUCCGUCCUUCCGGAGAAACAGGCCCAGAGAGGGCGGGAGACCGGCCCAAGGUCACACAGGAGUUUGGACCGGAGCUGCAGGCGUCCCCCACAUUCCGCUCGGCCCAGGAGCCCCGAAUCCCCAGGCAGGGCGUCUCCAGCGCCCACGUGGCCCAAGGCCCAGGCGGGAAUCCGACCUCCUCCCUCCCCCCAUCACCCAGUCCGAGGGCGGUGCCGUCCGGGCUCAGAGAAGCGCCCCCCUCCGCCAGUGCCUAGCAGGACCUCAGCCUCUCGUGCCCGGGCCCCAACCCCAGGAAUUUAACCCCUUACACGCCGACGGCCGCGUCAGAGCGCCGCAUUCCCAGCCCGCAAGGACCCAGAGAAGGGGUCGGGGAGACCCGGAGGGGGGUCACCUCAGCUGGAUGACAACAGAGCCUGAAGAAACGUGGAGUUGGCAGGGGAAGCAAGACCAAGCACCAUCACUGGUUCUCUGCGUAGGUGAACAUUUCUGCCUGACGUUCUCUCUAGCUCCACCUCGUGCCCUACCACUAAUACUCGGCCAGAAGACGAAAACAAGCCACAGACGGAUGAGAUGAGGUCUCUUCACUGGCUGGGUCAGCAAGGAGACUCAGUGUCUCCUUUUCCAUUUCAGAAAGACUAUUUGAAGUCUGGAUGAAUAAAGAAGGAUGAAACAUGCACAGACUCAAACUUAGACUAAGUAUAUAUUUUAAUGUCUACAAGGCCCCCCUUUCCAGUUUUAGGGAAAUUUAAAUGAAGUGUAUACAAAUCAGACAUUACCAAUAUGUACAAAAGUAUUUUCUACAGUUUUUGAACAAUACCAGCUAUAUCAUGUUUCAUUUGCAGUAAACAGGACAUUACAAAACCAGUCCAAUAAUGCCUUGUCUAUUAAGAAGCACAAUACACAUAAUUCAAUUUUAUUUAAAAAGUAACUUAAAAUACAGAACAAUCCCCUUUAUGAAGAAAAGCUAUUUCUGUAGUCCAUUCAGUAAACACACAAGUUGAAUGCUGCAGCUGAGGGCUGUCCUUUUCCAUGGAGAAAACAAACGAGGCUUCUAGGGCCCACCUUUUCAGGGUAAAAUUCUACCCACAGCACAACAGGCGAAGUUAUUGCCUGUGGGAGGCAGAAUUCUAAAAUGCCCCUCCUCCUAUUUCAUGCCCCAAUCCCAGGAACCUGUAAAUGCGAUACCACUUCUGUGAUUAUGUUCUGUGGCACAGCUGACCUUAACACAGGGAGACUAUCUCAGUGGGCUUGAUCUAAUCACACAAACCUUAAAACAGAGGAGGAAGGCAGAGAGACCUGAAGCAUGAGAAGAAGGCCUCGAUGGGCCAUUGCUGGUUUGAAGAUGGAGGGAAGCACACAAGAAGGAAUGCGAGCAGCCUUAAGGAGCCGAGAAAGAGGACCCCGGCUGACAGCCAGCAAGGAACUGAAUACUGCUAACAAUCUGAAUGAACUUGGAAGCAGAUUCUUCCCCAGAGCCUCCAUAAAGGAAUGCUGCCCUGCUGACCCUUGAUUUCAGCCUUGUGAGACCCUGAGCAGAGAAUCCAGCCAUACUGUGCUGGACUCAUGAGCUACAGAACUGUAAGCUAAGAAAUGAGUGCUGCUUUAAGCUGCAAAGUUUGGGGUCAUUUGUUACACAGCAAUAGAAAACUAAUACACUGCCCAAAGGUAACUCUUCUUAACGUAAUUAGAUUUGGCAGUUUUUGUUUGGGUUCUAAAUGCAGUUUCUUUCCACUGCAUAUUAUUAAAGCAAUAUUCUCCUCUGUAGGCAACUUCUGAAAACCCUUCAUAUGAUCGCACAUUGUUUUGUAUUCACUAUCAAGUAUGUUUGUUUGACUUAGGUCCUAUUUUCUAAUGUAUUCUCAUCUAUCAACUUGGCAAACAACUGGCCACAACCCUGUUUAUGAACCUUUUAUGGGUGAUGGUUUUAAUAUAUCCAAGGUCACCCCUCCAUCCAUCAGGGGUGGUCAGAUCCCUCCAACUGAGGGCUCUUUCCCACUUCCCAAGUACACCAGGCAAGCCCUGGGGUAGGAUGGCACAGAGUUCUGCAUCAAACAUCCAAUAUGAAUUUCUUCUGCAUAACUGGAUUAAACUGGCACUAAGGUGAUUAAGUACACUUGGGGAAAAAACUCAAACUAAAGGUUAAAAAAAGUCUCACCAGGGCUUCCCUGGUGGCACAGUGGUUGAGAGUCCGCCUGCCGAUGCAGGGGACGCGGGUUCGUGCCCCGGUCUGGGAAGAUCCCACAUGCCGCGGAGCGGCUGGGCCCGUGAGCCAUGGCCGCUGAGCCUGCCUGCGUGUCCGGAGCCUGUGCUCCACAAUGGGAGAGGCCACAACAGUGAGAGGCCCGCGUACCGCAAAAAAAAAAAAUCUCACCAGUUUUUACAGGUCAAAUCAUUUUUGCAGGAACCACCCAAGACUGUGAAAGUGUGUAAUCUAUGCAGUACUGCACACCCCGAUUCCCUGUCUGUUGUCGUAGGUUUACCAUCUCACACAAGGCUUCACUGAGUCAGUGCAGGCCACUGAAACAGGGAAACAUGCUGGCGGGUGCUGAGAACAGUUCAACUGCUCUUGCAUCUGCCUCUUACUUGAAAGACUUAAAAGUAAAGCCCUGCAAAAUGUGCCCAGGAUGGUGGCAGGGAGAUCUUGGUGUUACUUUUGAAGUCCACUCUCCAAUCAACUCCUCCAGGGACACACGCAUCAGUUCUGUGCAGCAGACCCCAGUGGCCACACAACCCCAUGCCAAUCCUGCCUGCUCCACGGCCUCCAGCCCACACCUGUGCUUGAGAGAGGCCCUCCAAAUAUUUAAAGUGAAUAGAGCUUAGAAGGACCCAUGUUUGGUGCCAAUGAAUUUUUAAAAAUUCAUUUCUCUCUCUGACGGAAUUCUAAUGUAUAGUAUGUAAGAAUAAUGCACCAAAAGGUACCAAGCACCAAAGCAUGAACUGGAAUAGAAUUGUCUUUUUACAAACCGAACUUCUGAUAGUAUUUAUUAGAAAGCACAUAAAACAUUAGGGCUUUAGAGACAGUGCAGGUAUUUAUAGUUAAGGCUGAUUUACUCUUCUUAACCUCACCCGCCAGCCUGAAAUAAUACACUGGGCUGUAUGGUGACUACUUUUCUGAUCCUCUGAGACAACAAAGAAGUAAGGAAUGAAUUAAGAACCCCAGAGCCACUGCCUUAUACUCCUGGCUACCAUCAGUAUCAGUUCUGGGCAGUUUGUUUUUAAGAGCACACAUGUAUAAGGUUCUGUGUAAUUGGUAUACAAGUAUUUGGUCACCUUUCACAGUUCUCCUUCACAGUUCUAUGCUUGGCAGCGUAC